UGUGCGGGGUGUAGUUUUCAAACAUGAAACCACGGCACUGGUCGAUGCAGUGAAACAGCGGGUUCCAGGCAUAGAGGGCAAGCAGGCGGUUCGACAGGUUGUUGCCCAGCACCAUCUUGCCGGAAAAGAUCAUGUU
rnacentral:ncRNA from 1 species